rnacentral:rRNA from 1 species
GACAGAGGGGGCAAGCGUUGCUCGGAAUUACUGGGCGUAAAGGGCGCGUAGGCGGGAUGGCAAGUCGGUCGUGAAAUCCCUCGGCUCAACCGAGGAACGUCGAUCGAUACUGCUGUUCUUGAGGAUUGCAGAGGAGACUGGAAUUCCCGGUGUAGCGGUGAAAUGUGUAGAGAUCGGGAGGAACACCGGUGGCGAAGGCGGGUCUCUGGGCAAUUCCUGACGCUGAGGCGCGAAAGCGUGGGGAGCAAACGGA